GACGAACGCUGGCGGCGUGCUUAACACAUGCAAGUCGAACGGUGAUGCUCCAGCUUGCUGGAGUGGAUCAGUGGCGAACGGGUGAGUAACACGUGAGCAACCUGCCCCAGACUCUGGAAUAAGCGCUGGAAACGGCGUCUAAUACUGGAUACGAAACUGGCCCGCAUGGGCAUGGUUUGGAAAGUUUUUCGGUUUGGGAUGGGCUCGCGGCCUAUCAGCUUGUUGGUGAGGUAAUGGCUCACCAAGGCGACGACGGGUAGCCGGCCUGAGAGGGCGACCGGCCACACUGGGACUGAGACACGGCCCAGACUCCUACGGGAGGCAGCAGUGGGGAAUAUUGCACAAUGGGCGAAAGCCUGAUGCAGCGACGCCGCUUGAGGGAUGACGGCCUUCGGGUUGUAAACCUCUUUCAGCAGGGAAGAAGCGAAAGUGACGGUACCUGCAGAAGAAGCACCGGCUAACUACGUG
rnacentral:rRNA from 1 species